AGAGGAGAAUGAGAACCCAGGUAGUUCCCUUCAAGAAGGGUGACCUGCUCAGCCCCGAGGAAGCGAGAGGCUCCCUGGGGAAAGGGCUGGACAAGCUCCAGGCACAGGGAGCAGCUGGCGGGGUGAGGCUUCCAGGAGGAUACCAAAUGCUAGAGCCUAUCACAGCUUCACUCAUAAUUGCCCAAACUCUCAAAACCACCUAUGACAGGGGCGUUGACAACUAAGCCAGGCUGUACUCAUGCAGUGAAAUACCACCCAGAGAAAAAACUGCACAGUAUUCCGGAAGGGGACUUGGAAGACAGAGAAAAGACCCAUGGGGUUUGGAUGAAGCGGUGAGAAUAAAAGACACCGAAGCAAAGAAUUUGAAGGCA
rnacentral:lncRNA from 1 species